GCUAGAUGAACGGAUAAACGUAAUUCUUUCUGUAUCAUUUUUACUAAAUAAAAAUUAGACUUCAGGUGAAGAUACCUGAAUUUUCUUGAAAGACAAGAAGACCCUAUAGAGUUUUAGUAAAACAAUUUUACCCUAUUUCUAUUACUUUGGUUGGGGCGACCUAGGAUUAAUAAAAACAUCCUUACAUAAAAAGAAUAUCUUAAUUCAUAAAAGAGACCCUGUUUUUCAGAUUUUUAAAAUUAACUACCUUAGGGAUAACAGGCUUAUCUUCCUAAAGAGUCCAAAUUGACAGGAAGGUCUGGCACCUCGAUGU
rnacentral:rRNA from 1 species